rnacentral:ncRNA from 1 species
CGGGGAUCGCAGGCUCCCCACUUUUCCAAGACGCCGGUGCGUCCAAGCUCUGC